CAGUUUCUUCUCUGGUCCUCAGGGAGAGUUAUCCUUUGAACAGGACAGUCUGGUUGAUGGGUGCCGUGAGGUGCGUCAGUUCCGCUCGGACCUCCACCUGGUGAGGUUCUACUUCCUGACGCGUCUCUACUCGGCCUACAAUGAAGAACAUCCGAGCUGACUUCCGCACCGGCCUCAAACCUGACUUCCUGAUUUGUCUACUCCUGUAUCUGGGACGUCUCCAGCCUAUCUUCCGAAGGAGCAUCUUCCAGAGUAAACAUCAGCAGAAGACGGGGGAGGGGGAACCCUUUAGGGCAAUCAGAGCCUUACAAGGGUGUCGCUGAAAAGCCCAACACCCUUCCUAACAAGGCCUCGUUCCGACAGAGAAACGGCGAGCGAAGUUCACGGCAGGAACAUGAGGCCGCCUCAGGACGAUGUCACGUUUCAUCACAACCAGCGUUCUGAGCCCUCUCCUGUACUCCCUGUUCACCCACGACUGCGUGGCCACGCACGCCUCCAACUCAAUCAUCAAGU